GAUGAACGCUGGCGGCGUGCCUAAUACAUGCGAGUCGAGCGAACGGACGAGAAGCUUGCUUCUCUGAUGUUAGCGGCGGACGGGUGAGUAACACGUGGAUAACCUACCUAUAAGACUGGGAUAACUUCGGGAAACCGGAGCUAAUACCGGAUGAUAUUUUGAACCGCAUGGUUCAAAAGUGAAAGACGGUCUUGCUGUCACUUAUAGAUGGAUCCGCGCUGCAUUAGCUAGUUGGUAAGGUAAUGGCUUACCAAGGCAACGAUGCAUAGCCGACCUGAGAGGGUGAUCGGCCACACUGGAACUGAGACACGGUCCAGACUCCUACGGAAGGCAGCAGUAGGGAAUCUUCCGCAAUGGGCGAAAGCCUGACGGAGCAACGCCGCGUGAGUGAUGAAGGUCUUCGGAUCGUAAAACUCUGUUAUUAGGGAAGAACAUAUGUGUAAGUAACUGUGCACAUCUUGACGGUACCUAAUCAGAAAGCCACGGCUAACUACGUG
rnacentral:rRNA from 1 species